UCAGUAAGGACAGCUGGGGAGAUUGAAACACAAGGAGAGCAGCUGAAACUAGCUGAAUAAAUUUCUUUCAGUGUAAUACUAACUUGGAAAGAAAAGUGCACUUUAGUAUUCUCUCAGCCUCCAGAAGAGAGUGAAAAAGCAUUAGAUGGUCUUCUGACAACAUAAAGUAUAAACAGCCUGAGGAAUUAGUGUUGGCUCAUCAAUAUAUCUACCCAAGGAAAGCAAUGCUGCUGAGCCUGGAAUAGUUCAAUAGCAGUUCAGCCUACUGAUCUAGCUAACAAUUUUGCCUCUGUUUGCAGGUUUUGCAGGACUGUGUUCUCAGGAAGGUCACCCCAGUCCAGGGGAGUUUCCAUAAUACAGUAGAGGGUUUCCUGGGGGAGAGCACCAUACAGAUACAGUGCAGAUCUCAUAUCUCCAGUUAUUCAGGUUUCUCUGAAAGAAAGGAGAUGAACCAUGACACAGGGAGGAAAGUAUGGUAACUCCCCAGCAUGUUUCAUUCAGAGCAGUGGGGUAUCUGAUAUGAAGAACUGGCAGAAUGAACCCAGAGCCUGAACUCAUGGAAGACUUCAAGAAAGUUUUUUGCAAUCCACCCAUGAUCUCUUUGCUCUUCCUCAUACAAGUGGGCAGAUAUACACACCUUCUGCACUUGUGAUGGGCUAAAGUAUUUGGAUUCCUGUUAAGUAAUAAAAAUAAUAGAACUUCUAUUUUUGCUUUCAAAUGCUUACUUUAGAAUGCAGAUAUAUGAACUGGUGAAAAGAGUCUCUGCACCAUUAGAUGCUACUGCUCCUUUAUCUUCAAGGUCUUUGAUGUUGUAUUGUUAUGGAUGAGGAGUUAAAGAAUGUUAAUUACUGCUGAUACAUAGCAGCAACUGCUGCUUCUUGAAUUCCAAUAAACCCUUUGAUAUCAAUGUAUGAAUAUUAUAGGAGACAUUGUCCCAUUGAAGUGACUAAAAAAAAGACUGGCAAAAGAGGAAACCAUGUGUAGAUCAGCAGGCAAGUUGGACAAAUAUGCUGCAGAGAAAGCUACCAUAACUCUUGUCAACUCUGUCGCUUUUGAUGUAGGUCACUUAAGAAAGGCAGAAGCACAACCUCACAUCCCCAGCAAAAGGGAAGAGUGGGAAUUCUUUGGGGACAAAACAACGGAGGAAGGCAUCUGGCACACAGGAAUAACUCCAUUAUGACAGACUGCUCAGAAGCAAACAGAACUUCAGAUGGAAGAAAAAAAUUUGGGGGAUUAUUUAUGAAUCAGAUUUCAGCACUGGCUGGGGAAGAAGAAAGAAGCUCUUAUCUGUAUUGACCUGGGAGGAAGGCAGGGCAGAAGAACCUGACUGAGACACAUUAUCUCUCUGUUCUCAGAGGAAAGGGAAAUAAGGAGAGUGUCCCAUAUGUUAAAUAUUAAGAGGCUGAAGUCCCUAUUAUAAGGAUCAACCAAUCAGUUUCCACUUUGAUAAUUGUUUGAACCACUACAUCCACAAUGUCUACAGCUUUUGGCUUUCCUGUCAGCUCUACUGAGGUGUUUUUUCAUUUUAACUACAUAUCCAAGUGCCUACAGGUACUGAAGCAGGACCCCUGUCCUUCUGGCCCACUCACUUGGUGAAAUCUGGUGCACUGCCUACUCCCAGAAGAGAAGUCCUCACCACACCUGAGACCACUUCUGACCCAUAGCUCAAGUCCUGCUGGACACAGCAAGUGCACAGCCAGAGCUUCAAGCCACAGCCAUCUCUGGAGAAAGGGCAGCCAGAGACCUCCCCUCCAGCUGCCUUGUACUUACCAGCAGAGACCACAGGGCUGUGGCAGCACAACCACCAGCUCAAGGGCCUGCUGCUGACUUAGCAGUCUCAUGUUCUUCCAAUCCAGCUGUACCUUACACUCCUCAAGCACCCAGUGCUUUUUUUUCUAAGCACUUAUUAUUUUUCUGUCCGAAGUAGCCAAAAUCCCCAUUAUUUAUGUGUUCUUCCAAGAGCAGCCCCUGAGUUUCCACCAACACCCAGCUGUCAAAUACCCAUACAACCUGUAUGAUCUCAACACACACAAGCAGAGUGUAUUGAGAUCAUAGCAGUGUGUCUCACAAACCCAUUUUUAGAGCCACCCACCUCCCAGUGACUAAGCACUCCAUCCACAUACAGCUUUCCUGUCAGAUGCCUCUCAACUUCUCCCACUUGUUUGCAGGAGAGGUCAGUCAGGGGCUCUAUUUCUUGUACACUUCACAGGGUCUGGUGUCUCCCGUCCCUGCCCUCCAUGUACAAUAUUUUAAGCAAGAUUCACUGAUGAAAAUCCAAAUUUUUAUUAUAAAUUCACGUAC